GAUGAACGCUGGCGGCGUGCCUAACACAUGCAAGUCGAGCGAUCUCUUCGGAGAGAGCGGCGGACGGGUGAGUAACGCGUGGGUAACCUGCCCUGUACACACGGAUAACAUACCGAAAGGUAUGCUAAUACGGGAUAAUAUAUAAAAGUCGCAUGGCUUUUAUAUCAAAGCUUUUGCGGUACAGGAUGGACCCGCGUCUGAUUAGCUAGUUGGUAAAGUAACGGCUUACCAAGGCGACGAUCAGUAGCCGACCUGAGAGGGUGAUCGGCCACACUGGAACUGAGACACGGUCCAGACUCCUACGGGAGGCAGCAGUGGGGAAUAUUGCACAAUGGGCGAAAGCUUGAUGCAGCGACGCCGCGUGAGCGAUGAAGGCCUUCGGGUCGUAAAGCUCUGUCCUCAAGGAAGAUAAUGACGGUGCUUGAGGAGGAAGCCCCGGCUAACUACGUGCCAGCCGCCGCAGUAA
rnacentral:rRNA from 1 species